rnacentral:rRNA from 1 species
UACGAGAGGCCCAAACGUUAUUCGGAAUUACUGGGCUUAAAGAGUUCGUAGGCGGCAUGAAAAGUAGGGUGUGAAAGCCCUCGGCUCAACCGAGGAAUUGCGCUCUAAACUGUCGUGCUCUAGGAAUCUAGAGGUGAGCGGAACUGAUGGUGGAGCGGUGAAAUGCGUUGAUAUCAUCAGGAACACCGGAGGCGAAGGCGGCUCACUGGGGAUUUUCUGACGCUGAGGAACGAAGGCCAGGGGAGCAAACGGG